UAAAAAACAAGAAAAAACUUCAAAUUACCACCGCUCUGGUUUCACGUUUUUUUAUUUUAAUGAGUGUCGUAUAUAUGAUUUAAAGUGUAUCAAUUUAUUAUCCCGUGGUUUUAUUUUUCUUUUUUUAUUAUCUCCUUCACUAAUUUUUUUUUAUUAAAUCGGUGAUAAAGUUAAAAUUAAAAGGUACUAAAGUGAAUAUUCGAUAAACCUAGGUGGGAUAUCUAAAGUUUUUUGUAUAUAAUUUAACGAAAUGUUAAUGAAAGAGCUGACGAAAAGAGAAAAAUAAAAUCAAAGGGUACUAAAUUGAUAUACUUUAAACCACAGGGUACUAAAGUGAGAAAAUACGAAAGUACAGGGGUGGUAUUUGAAGUUUAAACUAAAAAAAAAAUCUUUUCUA
rnacentral:lncRNA from 1 species